rnacentral:rRNA from 1 species
AUUGAACGCUGGCGGCAUGCCUAACACAUGCAAGUCGAACGGUAACAGGUCCCGUAGCAAUACGGGAUGCUGACGAGUGGCGGACGGGUGAGUAAUGCGUAGGAAUUUACCUCAAAGCGGGGGAUAGCCCGGAGAAAUCCGGAUUAAUACCGCAUGUGCUCUACGGAGGAAAGCGGGCAUCUACUUGUAAGCUCGCACUUUGAGGUAAGCCUACGUCGGAUUAGCUAGUUGGUAGGGUAAAGGCCUACCAAGGCGACGAUCCGUAGCUGGUUUGAGAGGAUGAUCAGCCACACUGGGACUGAGACACGGCCCAGACUCCUACGGGAGGCAGCAGUGGGGAAUAUUGGACAAUGGGCGAAAGCCUGAUCCAGCAAUGCCGCGUGUGUGAAGAAGGCCUGCGGGUUGUAAAGCACUUUUAUCAGGAAAGAAAAUCUCGGGGCUAAUAUCCCCGGGCCUUGACGGUACCUGAUGAAUAAGCACCGGCUAACUCCGUGCCAGCAGCCGCGGUAA